rnacentral:rRNA from 1 species
ACGGGAGGCAGCAGUGAGGAAUAUUGGUCAAUGGGCGAGAGCCUGAACCAGCCAAGUAGCGUGAAGGAUGACUGCCCUAUGGGUUGUAAACUUCUUUUAUAAAGGAAUAAAGUCGGGUAUGCAUACCCGUUUGCAUGUACUUUAUGAAUAAGGAUCGGCUAACUCCGUGCCAGCAGCCGCGGUAAUACGGAGGAUCCGAGCGUUAUCCGGAUUUAUUGGGUUUAAAGGGAGCGUAGAUGGAUGUUUAAGUCAGUUGUGAAAGUUUGCGGCUCAACCGUAAAAUUGCAGUUGAUACUGGAUAUCUUGAGUGCAGUUGAGGCAGGCGGAAUUCGUGGUGUAGCGGUGAAAUGCUUAGAUAUCACGAAGAACUCCGAUUGCGAAGGCAGCCUGCUAAGCUGCAACUGACAUUGAGGCUCGAAAGUGUGGGUAUCAAACAGGAUUAGAUACCCUGGUAGUCCACACGGUAAACGAUGAAUACUCGCUGUUUGCGACAUACAGCAAGCGGCC